UGACAUCACUGUGCCUUGUCCGUAUGAC
rnacentral:piRNA from 1 species